rnacentral:rRNA from 1 species
CUAUUUAUAGAGUGGCGCACGGGUGUAGUAACGCGUGGGAACCUGCCUUUUUCUGCGGGAUAACGGUUGGAAACGACCGCUAAUACCGCAUACGCCCUACGGGGGAAAGGUCCGCCGGAAAAAGAGGGGCCCGCGUCUGAUUAGCUUGUUGGUAGGGUAAUGGCCUACCAAGGCGACGAUCAGUAGCUGGUCUGAGAGGAUGAUCAGCCACACUGGGACUGAGACACGGCCCAGACUCCUACGGGAGGCAGCAGUGGGGAAUAUUGGACAAUGGGGGCAACCCUGAUCCAGCAAUGCCGCGUGUGUGAUGAAGGCCUUAGGGUUGUAAAGCACUUUCACUGGUGAAGAUGAUGACGGUAACCAGAGAAGAAGCCCCGGCUAACUUCGUGCCAGCAGCCGCGGUAAUACGAAGGGGGCGAGCGUUGUUCGGAAUUACUGGGCGUAAAGGGCGCGUAGGCGGUCUUUUAAGUUAGGCGUGAAAGCCCCGGGCUCAACCCGGGAACUGCGCUUAAGACUGGAAGACUAGAAAACGGAAGAGGGUAGUGGAAUUCCCAGUGUAGAGGUGAAAUUCGUAGAUAUUGGGAAGAACACCAAGUGGCGAAAGCGGCUACCUGGUCCGAUUUUGACGCUAAGGCGCGAAAGCGUGGGGAGC